GGGAGUAGAAUACAACUGGGUGGCGACCGGCGCACGGGUGAGUAACGCGUAUGCACCCUUUCUAGUCCAGGCGAAUAACCCGGCGAAAGUCGGACUCCCUCCGCAUAAAACAGGGACACCGCAUGGUGAUAUUUGUUAAAGAAAUUCGCUGAUAGAUGGGCAUGCGUUCCAUUAGGUAGUUGGUGAGGUAACGGCUCACCAAGCCGACGAUGGAUAGGGGAACUGAGAGGUUGGUCCCCCACACUGGUACUGAGACACGGACCAGACUCCUACGGGAGGCAGCAGUGAGGAAUAUUGGUCAAUGGGCGAGAGCCUGAACCAGCCAAGUCGCGUGAAGGAAGAAGGAUCUAUGGUUCGUAAACUUCUUUUGCAGGGGAAUAAAGUGCAGGACGUGUCCUGUUUUGUAUGUACCCUGAGAAUAAGGAUCGGCUAACUCCGUGCCAGCAGCCGCGGUAAUACGGAGGAUCCGAGCGUUAUCCGGAUUUAUUGGGUUUAAAGGGUGCGUAGGUGGUUUGAUAAGUCAGCGGUGAAAGUUUGCAGCUUAACUGUAAAAAUGCCGUUGAAACUGUCGGACUUGAGUGUAAAUGAGGUAGGCGGAAUGCGUGGUGUAGCGGUGAAAUGCUUAGAUAUCACGAAGAACUCCGAUUG
rnacentral:rRNA from 1 species